UACGGAAGGCAGCAGUGGGGAAUAUUGCACAAUGGGCGCAAGCCUGAUGCAGCCAUGCCGCGUGUAUGAAGAAGGCCUUCGGGUUGUAAAGUACUUUCAGUCGUGAGGAAGGUGUUAAGGUUAAUAACCUUAGCAAUUGACGUUAGCGACAGAAGAAGCACCGGCUAACUCCGUGCCAGCAGCCGCGGUAAUACGGAGGGUGCGAGCGUUAAUCGGAAUUACUGGGCGUAAAGGGCACGCAGGCGGUUAAUUAAGUUGGAUGUGAAAUCCCCGGGCUUAACCUGGGAAUGGCAUUCAAGACUGGUUAGCUAGAGUCUUGUAGAGGGGGUAGAAUUCCAUGUGUAGCGGUGAAAUGCGUAGAGAUGUGGAGGAAUACCGGUGGCGAAGGCGGCCCCUGGACAAAGACUGACGCUCAUGUGCGAAAGCGUGGGGAGCAAACAGGGAUUUAGAUA
rnacentral:rRNA from 1 species